rnacentral:rRNA from 1 species
AGGACGAACGCUGGCGGCGUGCUUAACACAUGCAAGUCGAGCGGAAAGGCCCUUCGGGGUACUCGAGCGGCGAACGGGUGAGUAACACGUGAGCAACCUGCCCUUAGCUUCGGGAUAGCUCCGGGAAACCGGAAUUAAUACCGAAUAUGAAUGCGGCUGACAUCAGCCACAUUGGAAAGUUUUUCGGCUAGGGAUGGACUCGCGGCCUAUCAGCUAGUUGGUGAGGUAACGGCCCACCAAGGCGACGACGGGUA